UACAGAGGGGGCAAGCGUUGUUCGGAAUUACUGGGCGUAAAGCGCACGUAGGCGGACUACUAAGUCAGGGGUGAAAUCCCGGGGCUCAACCCCGGAACUGCCUUUGAUACUGAUAGUCUCGAGUCCGGAAGAGGUGAGUGGAAUUCCGAGUGUAGAGGUGAAAUUCGUAGAUAUUCGGAGGAACACCAGUGGCGAAGGCGGCUCACUGGUCCGGUACUGACGCUGAGGUGCGAAAGCGUGGGGAGCAAACAGG
rnacentral:rRNA from 1 species